UACGGAGGGUGCAAGCGUUGUUCGGAAUUACUGGGCGUAAAGCGCGCGUAGGCGGCCGUGCAAGUCUGAUGUGAAAUCCCUGGUUUCAAGCCAGGAACUGCAUUGGAAACUGCAUGGCUAGAGUACGGGAGAGGAUCGCGGAAUUCCUGGUGUAGAGGUGAAAUUCGUAGAUACCAGGAGGAACACCGGUGGCGAAGGCGGCGAUCUGGACCAGUACUGACGCUCAGGCGCGAAAGCGUGGGUAGCAAAC
rnacentral:rRNA from 1 species